UGGGAAGUCCUCGUGUUGCACAAUUU
rnacentral:rRNA from 1 species